CAGAUUGAACGCUGGCGGCAUGCCUAACACAUGCAAGUCGAACGGGAGUAGCAAUACUCUAGUGGCGGACGGGUGAGGAAUACGUAGGAAUUUGCCCUUAAGUGGGGGAUAACCCGGGGAAACCCGGAUUAAUACCGCAUGACCUCGAAAGAGCAAAGUGGGGGAUCGCAAGACCUCACGCUUUUGGAGAAGCCUACGUCGGAUUAGCUAGUUGGUGAGGUAAUGGCUCACCAAGGCGACGAUCCGUAACUGGUCUGAGAGGAUGAUCAGUCACACCGGAACUGAGACACGGUCCGGACUCCGUACGGGAGGCAGCAGUGGGGAAUAUUGGACAAGUGGG
rnacentral:rRNA from 1 species